AUCCACUGGGAGUCCUUUUGCGUUUCAGAUGCUCCCAGGCUCUCCCGCAGUUUAAAGACUUAACUCAGCGGCUUUCAGGGCCUGUGGUUGAGGGACUCCGAAAGAACUGUUGCUGGUGGACCGGUUCAGGGUCUUGACUUCGCCACACAAAAGAACUUGAGAGCACGUCCAAAGUAAAGCUAAGACCUCUAGUACAGUGUUCAAUGGAACUGGUGAGAAAAGACGUCCUUGCUGUGUUCCUGAUAUGAAGAGGAAAGCAGUCCUUCUCCAUUAAAUGCUGACAACAUGAGCCUCCCGUGGUCGGAACGGGCUUGUGAAGGCGGUGCUGGGGUGCACCAGGGCAGCAGCUACAGGUUGCCAGGAGCAAAGCUACUGAGGCCCUGAAGAGCUCAUCAGGUGAUGACAGCGCCUGCUGGGAUGUCAGGGAAAAGAGGAGCUGGGGCCACUGGGCCUCUCUGACAAACAGAAAGCCAGGCCUGAAACCCGAGUAGCGUUUGUAUCCACCUCCCUCAGUCCAUGUGUGGCCGCCUGGCCGGCUGCUGUCUUAGUUCCUCCACGUGGCACUUGUUGAGCACCUGUCUCUGGCUGGAAUGCCGGGUGCCAGAAGAAACUCUGCAAGUAAAACUCAACCAUCCCAGGACACUGGAAAAUCACCACUGUGAUGGGCCAACUCUGGUUCCCAGUGACAUUGUAAGUUGCUCCCGAAUCGCCUUUUCCAAGGCUUAAUCGGCUGAAGUCGAUGUGCAGAAACUCAUCAACAGAACUUUCAGAAAGGAGAAGCGAAAAUGGGCUGCCCCGAAGAUGAGGUCUUGCACCUCGCCAAGUGGCUCCUAAAAGGCCACUUAUUGGAAGGAUCCCUGUCUUCUAAAGAAUUGAAAUUUCUUGGCCGGGCAUGUUGGCUCACGCCUGUAAUCCCAGCAAUUUGGGAGGCCAAAGCGGGUGGGUCACCUGAGGUCAGGAGUUCAAGACCAGCCUGGCCAACAUGGUGAAACCCCAUCUCUACUAAAAAUACAAAAA
rnacentral:lncRNA from 1 species